ensembl:lncRNA
GGAGUGAAAGGAGAUAAGGGAGAUGCAGGCGACAAAGGUCCUCCUGGGUUAAGGGGUACCCAGGGUCUUCCAGGUUCUACAGGGUUGGUUGGUCUCCCUGGCACCAAAGGGGGAAAGGGAGAGCAAGGAUUGCCGGGAUUAGAUGGUUUCCCCGGGCUGAUGGGACAAAAGGGGGAGAGGGGGGGCAGAGGAGACAAGGGUGACAGGGGGAUGCUGGGAAAGAAGGGACUGAAGGGACAGAAGGGCGAGCAAGGCCCUCCUGGACUGGACCAGCCCUGUCCUGUGGGUCGGGAUGGAUUACCCAUACCUGGAUGUUGGCAUAAGUGAUGACUGACCGGGACCUGGGAUCUGUACAUAUCGAUAUAUAUUUUUCAAAUAAAACUCAAGUGUUGUUUUUUGUUGUUGUUGCCAAUUCUAAUUUAAUAUAUUGAGUUUUUCGUAUUGGAAUUUAGAUUGUGGGUCUAUCACAAUCAAUAUUUUGUACUUUUUGCAUAUGAAAAGAAAACUAGUUUUUUUUUAGUUUAGAGAUGACUUACAAGAAGGAUAUCAUGCACACAAAGAGGAGAGACUGGUGACAAACGGAAAGCAGCAGCAAAUGCACUCAACACCUACCGGAUGGACAAAUGUUGCUGCUUUUAUCUAUACGGGGAGAAAUAAAUCAUUGAUUCUGACGAACAGGCUCACUAGUGUUCCCAUAUUGGAGUGUACAACUCCACCUGCACCUUGCAAACAAAUCUACCCCAUCACUCCUGUGAAUGCUGUUUGCUUUGAAAGGACCAGUCCUCACGGCAGGGACCCAAUGCCAGGUACCCAUCCCAACCUUAGGAGAGAGGUAUGGGGAGGCACAGAGGAUGGCCCUCACAGUUGAAUAGGAGCCACACAGACUGACUGCGCUGGACAGAGACAGAUGGCUACACCAGCAUGGAGGAAAUAUGGCUUUCACUCUUCAGCUGCAAUCCUAACUGGUACUGGAGGGACUUGAUUCAAACACCAGAUCCCUCACAACAAAUUACAGACACACACUAGCUUAGAUGAAUGGAUUUAUUUCAAGUCCUUCUAAAUCCCUUAGCAGUGUGUUAUCCAUUACAUGCGGUUGUGUGUUUUUGUCAUAAUGUGUGUAAAAACGAAUCAGAUCUGAAAUGAACACAUGUUUUAAUACCAUGAUGUUUGGAU